AUGAACGCUAGCUACAGGCUUAACACAUGCAAGUCGAGGGGCAUCAGGAAGAAAGCUUGCUUUCUUUGCUGGCGACCGGCGCACGGGUGAGUAACACGUAUCCAACCUGCCCUUUACUCGGGGAUAGCCUUUCGAAAGAAAGAUUAAUACCCGAUAGCAUAAUGAUUCCGCAUGGUUUCAUUAUUAAAGGAUUCCGGUAAAGGAUGGGGAUGCGUUCCAUUAGGUUGUUGGUGAGGUAACGGCUCACCAAGCCUUCGAUGGAUAGGGGUUCUGAGAGGAAGGUCCCCCACAUUGGAACUGAGACACGGUCCAAACUCCUACGGGAGGCAGCAGUGAGGAAUAUUGGUCAAUGGGCGUUAGCCUGAACCAGCCAAGUAGCGUGAAGGAUGAAGGCUCUAUGGGUCGUAAACUUCUUUUAUAUAAGAAUAAAGUGCAGUAUGUAUACUGUUUUGUAUGUAUUAUAUGAAUAAGGAUCGGCUAACUCCGUGCCAGCAGCCGCGGUAAUACGGAGGAUCCGAGCGUUAUCCGGAUUUAUUGGGUUUAAAGGGAGCGUAGGUGGACUGGUAAGUCAGUUGUGAAAGUUUGCGGCUCAACCGUAAAAUUGCAGUUGAUACUGUCAGUCUUGAGUACAGUAGAGGUGGGCGGAAUUCGUGGUGUAGCGGUGAAAUGCUUAGAUAUCACGAAGAACUCCGAUUGCGAAGGCAGCUCACUGGACUGCAACUGACACUGAUGCUCGAAAGUGUGGGUAUCAAACAGGAUUAGAUACCCUGGUAGUCCACGCUGUAAACGAUGAUUACUAGGUGUGGGGGGUCUGACCCCUUCCGUGCCGGAGUUAACACAAUAAGUAAUCCACCUGGGGAGUACGGCCGCAAGGUUGAAACUCAAAGGAAUUGACGGGGGCCCGCACAAGCGGAGGAACAUGUGGUUUAAUUCGAUGAUACGCGAGGAACCUUACCCGGGCUUAAAUUGCAGUGGAAUGAUGUGGAAACAUGUCAGUGAGCAAUCACCGCUGUGAAGGUGCUGCAUGGUUGUCGUCAGCUCGUGCCGUGAGGUGUCGGCUUAAGUGCCAUAACGAGCGCAACCCUUAUCUUCAGUUACUAACAGGUCAUGCUGAGGACUCUGGAGAGACUGCCGUCGUAAGAUGUGAGGAAGGUGGGGAUGACGUCAAAUCAGCACGGCCCUUACGUCCGGGGCUACACACGUGUUACAAUGGGGGGUACAGAAGGCAGCUAGCGGGUGACCGUAUGCUAAUCCCAAAAUCCUCUCUCAGUUCGGAUCGAAGUCUGCAACCCGACUUCGUGAAGCUGGAUUCGCUAGUAAUCGCGCAUCAGCCACGGCGCGGUGAAUACGUUCCCGGGCCUUGUACACACCGCCCGUCAAGCCAUGGGAGCCGGGGGUACCUGAAGUACGUAACCGCAAGGAUCGUCCUAGGGUAAAACUGGUGACUGGGGCU
rnacentral:rRNA from 1 species